ensembl:lncRNA
CCGCUGUUGUUCCAGCAUGGAGUAGGCCGUUUAUACAACCAAGUAACCAGCAUCAGUGUCAGUUGGACUGCAUGGUUUUGAUUUUACACAUCCUGAACAGAUCCGUUUUGUGCUAUUUUGAAGAGGUAUUUAGAAUCCAGAAACAUGAUCAGGGCCGUUAUUCUGUACCCGACAACCCUGAGCCGAACCUGGGAGGCCCUUCCAGAGUCCCAAGCCACAUCUAAGCAGGCUUUCUCCAUCGUGUGUCCGUCCACCAGGACUUGAUUCUGGGAGAAAAUGCCAAUGGAUCCCGGGCCUACCAGUGUGUCGACUGCCCUUCUACUGCCUGGCUGAGUUCUAGGCCCACCUCCUGGUCAGCUGGAAGCAGCGUACAUACUGUAACCGACUGUACAGUGACAUGACCUGGCUGUGCUCUUCUCCACCUCCUCUAUCGGGUUCAGAGCAGCUAUCCUCACCGUCCUCAGUCCAGGAUGAC